GUUGGGGAUGUAGCUCAGUGUGAAGCCUUGGUUCAAUUCCCAGGAGGAAAAAAAAAGAUUAAAAUGGACAGUUUUGGUGGGUUUUUUUGUACUAGGGAUCGAACUUGGGUUCUUGCACUUGCAAGGCAGGUGGUGGAAACACUGAGCUAAAUCCCUGGCCCUAAAAUAGACAAUUUUGUGUUACAUAUACAAGCCAUAAUUUAUAAGAAAAACCAACUUAUUCAGGAGACAGUAUACUCAAGAAUCCGCCAAAGAGAACAUUUACAAAGUGACAAAUCAGUAAAGUACUGGCAGUUGGACCAAAGGCCUCAAGCAUGCUAGGCAAGCACUCUGCAACUGAGCUAUGUACCUCCCAAAUUUGAAUGGAGACCAAACAGAGCAAGAAAAACCCAAGGAGAGACCCUGCCCAUGAGGGUCUAGUGGAGGAG
rnacentral:lncRNA from 1 species